AGGGGUCACAACGAUGCCUGUCGCCUGCAAGUAUGAGGAGAUGUAGGUGCCAGAGGUAUGGACACCAAAGGCUUUCAUCUGCUCAUCUCAUUAAUAAAGUGUGUGUUUUUCCAUAGUAGUUUAACUGACUCGUUUCUUUUCUAACAUGCCAUCUUCUUCUAAUUUGUGAGGUGCAUAAGAAGAGUAUGCUGUGUGACUGCUUCUGCGCAGGUCGUGGCGGCGAGUUCACUGCGCCUCGACCACAGUGGUGGUGCUAUCUCGGUUUUGGCUACAAUUCUGUCAGGGCAAGGAGACCGACUAAAUGACAGAACCAGUAGGUGUAGUACUUAAGCUGGAUUACCUAGGGACAACUGAGAGACAUGUAUCAGUUCUUCUUUGCUUAUAAGCAUCAGCUGAGCAAUGGGCAUGGAGGACGACUUAAUGGCAGACAAGAUGGAACCAGUACUUAAUCCGGAGUAC